CUCUGCAUCGACCAUUAUGGAGUGUUACAGUAGAAAAACAAGCUCAACUACAAGAGAAAAACCAUCCAUGGAAACGAAAAGGUGAGACAUACAUGGAAUAUUUCGCAUCCAAAAGCAUAAAAUAGGCUACUUGUUCAUCAUUUUCUCCCUGACACCUUUCAUAUGGAGUAGCAACUUAUCAUAGUCGGGAAUGUUUUCUUUAAUCAGAGGAACUUCAAUGAAAUUCUGGGCCCAAGCAUGCAAUCGAGGCAGUGUGCUUGGUUCCAAAACUUUCACACCCGCUGCUUCUUCAAUGGCUUCAAGCCAACAAGUGAAGAGUCCAAAUGA